rnacentral:rRNA from 1 species
UACGGGGGGGGCAAGCGUUGUUCGGAAUUACUGGGCGUAAAGGGCUCGUAGGUGGCCAACUAAGUCAGACGUGAAAUCCCUCGGCUUAACCGGGGAACUGCAUCUGAUACUGGAUGGCUUGAGUUUGGGAGAGGGAUGCGGAAUUCCAGGUGUAGCAGUGAAAUGCGUAGAUAUCUGGAGGAACACCGGUGGCGAAGGCGGCAUCCUGGACCAACACUGACACUGAGGAGCGAAAGCAUGGGGAGCGAACAGG